rnacentral:sRNA from 1 species
CGGAUUAAAGAAAAGACUGACCAUAAAGAAGAAAAUACUGGAAAUGAGGAGGUAGAGGAUGGAACUGAGGAGACACUGUCUCAGCACAGUGAUGGCAUCGUGGAGUAUGGGCCAAAGAAGUCAAGGCCAGGACUUUCCAUGCGUAGAAAGCCACCCUACAGAUCCCAUUCGCUCUCUCCAUCUCCAGUUAACAAACACAAACAGUUCCACGUGGAGAGAAAAAGGCAGCGCAAGCCAAGAGAAACAGAUAUCCGCCAAUUCCGAGCACAGGCGUUUACUGAAGCAUUUGAAAGGGAACUAAGAAGACAUAAAGUUCAAGAGAAUAUUGGACCUCUAAGAAUACAUGAGAAGGAGGAGGAAACAGUGGGAAAAAAUAUACAGAGGAGAAGCUGUUUGUAAAGGAACUCCAGAAUGUAGUCAGCCCUGGAAGAUUUACUCUAGAAAAACCACAACUCAGAGUCUAAGAGGUGGCCUCCCAAAGCCAAAUAAAGCAGUUCCAAGUAAGAACCACAGAAUUGUACUUUAUGGAAAACUGGCAGCCUUUGAAAGCAUGUGCAACAUUC